CCUACGGGAGGCAGCAGUGAGGAAUAUUGGUCAAUGGCCGGAAGGCUGAACCAGCCAAGCCGCGUGAAGGACGAAGGUGCCAAGCAUUGUAAACUUCUUUUGUCAAGGGACAAAAUCAGGCUCGAGAGCCUGACCGAGGGUACUUGAAGAAAAAGCAUCGGCUAACUCCGUGCCAGCAGCCGCGGUAAUACGGAGGAUGCGAGCGUUAUCCGGAUUUAUUGGGUUUAAGGGGUGCGUAGGCGGGCUGUUAAGUCAGCGGUAAAAGCCCGGGGCUCAACCCCGGCGAGCCGUUGAAACUGGAAGACAUGAGUGUGUUUGAGGUAGGCGGAAUGAGUGGUGUAGCGGUGAAAUGCAUAGAUAUCACGCAGAACUCCGAUUGCGAAGGCAGCUUACUAAGCCAUAACUGACACUGAAGCACGAAAGCGUGGGGAUCAAACAGGAUUAGAUACCCUGGUAGUC
rnacentral:rRNA from 1 species